GUGUGCUCCCAAGAGUCAGGGGCAUCAUGAGACGUUCAGGUCCAUCCUUCCCUGUCCUUGCCUGCGGAACGGGACAGCAUGGGCUGUGCUGGCCAAACCAUGGUCUGCUGGUGACCCCUCCUUGGCAAAAUCCACCAGCAACGUGUGCCUCUGCUCCAGAAGAUGCCAUCCUUCCAGAAGCCAGUUCCACCAGGGAGAGGGGCAGAGCCCCCCGCAGCCAGCGCUCUGUCAGAAGCAGAGACUGUCACCUGCUGGGACCCCAGCCCGAGGGACCCCCUCCUCUGCUUGGAUCCUCUCUGAAGUAUCUAACUCUGAACAAUCGGGUAUCCAGCACUAAAAGCAACAAGUAGGGUUCUGUCCAGCCCUGUAGAGCUCCUUUUACUUUUUUUGUUCUCUGAUGUGGCACUUCUUCAUGUGACUGAAAUAUUUGCUUGUUCAUCCAUUCCACUGCACAUGCACGAUGAAUUUACUGCCCAUGCUCAGCCUCUUCCAGCAGUUCUGUUUCCUGGAUUUCCGUGGGAUCUUUGAAUCUCUGCAGAUGGAAAGGUCUAUUUUAGAAGCCAUACUUUGCAAAUUGCUGCCACAUUAUACAUUUCAUCUAAUGCAGCCUUCACUGAUUUCUCUUUAAAAAGUGUCAGUUACUUAAAAGCAAUAUGAACGAUGAGAAUGUGAACGAUGAGAGAGACAGCUUUAGAAAGAGAACCUCCUUUGCACAGGCAGCGCUCGAGAAAUGCGAUGAGUCUGGAGAAAAUUUGCUAAAAGUACCCUGAAAGGAGCAACUUUAACACCCUGUGCUCAUGUAUCCGCUGUGUCCCUGUCCCAGCUCACAGCACACCUGGUCCCCACUGGUCUUCAAGACCCUCAUCUCCUGCUGCAGCCCAGCACCAUGCGGCACAGACCCAUGGCCAGGCUGCUGCUCCUGCAGGGACCAUCCACCAUGCCACGCUGUAACUUGCAAGUGCUUAUGGGGAAGAGACAGGGGCACAGCUUCCCCCCAGGAACCCUCCGCACGCUAUGGGGUCCAGUCCCUCUGCUGGCUCCGUUCUCUGAUGGAUGCUUGGGCUCCUGUCGGCUGACAAGGGAAGAGUGUGAGUUGUUGAUACUGCUGCUGAAAAAGGGGGUUUAUUAAAAUAUUCUUCUGACAGGUUCAUUUUCUGAAUUCCUCUGGAUUAUUUCCAGCAUUCCAAUUCCAUCAGAAAACGCUCUUUUCAGGGGCUGGGGAGAGACUGUGAGUCAUUUCUUCCCUUUUCUUCUCAUUUAGAUGGGAAAGGUUAAUCCUUUGAAAGUCUGAAAUAGCCACAACUAAACUGCAAGGAAGUGUGCCCUUCCACAAUGCAAGAGAAGUGCUUGGCCAGAGCAGUAUCUUGAGAAACUGUAAUCCUGCAAGAGAAGACAUAAUAACAGAGGGAGUAAAUUGUCACAGCUGUAGCUGCUGCUGCCAUUGUGUUUGGGUUGUGUAUGUGCCGCUGCAGCCAUGGCCAGGCUGUAAGGACUCCCCUCCUCUCGCAGGGGAGGGGGCUGCUCUGGGUGACCACCCUCGGAGAGGUGUGUGACAUCGUCUCAUGGACCUCAUUCACCCCAAAGCACCCAGAGGAGCAGUGUGACCCCAGCUGGCCCUUGUCCCUGGGACAUCACCCACGCUCUGCAGCCACCUCUGGUGGGUCCCUGACCUGUGGGUGACAGUGCUCCUCCACCAGGUCCUGAGGGAGCCCGAAGGAGCACGAAGGUCUCUGCCCCAGACCCCCGGGACCAGGGGAAGGUGUCGGGAGUGAGGCACCACGUAGGGUGUCCCCACAGCCCCAGGGGAGGCAGGGGCUGGUGCCCACCCCCUUCCCUGAGCCGCUAACGAGCCAGCACCCACCCCUUGGCCAUGCCACUAACGAGCCAGCACCCACCCCUUGGCCAUGCCGCUAACGAGCCAGUGCCCACCCCUCGGCCAUGCCGCUAACGAGCCAGUGCCCACCCCUCAGCCAUGCCGCUAACGAGCCAGCGGCAGCACCUCUUUCCGGAACAAACGUGAUUCCAAUUGAAAACUAACAUGACAAGAGGCGCACACGGUAAUAACCCAGUGAGGAGACAUGGCUCUCAAGACAUCUACAGACUCCAGAUUAAAUGAAAUUUUGACAGAGAAAAAUAUGUAUUGGCAACAUUUCUUGAUCCACAAUUCAAAGAGAAAAUUGAAACCAUAUUUCCGUAAGAAUCAGACGCUGGAAAGAAGUUCUUAAUAAACAAAAAGAGACAGGUCA
rnacentral:lncRNA from 1 species